GACGAACGCUGGCGGCGUGCCUAAUACAUGCCAGUUGAGCGCUGAAGGUUGGUACUUGUACCAACUGGAUGAGCAGCGAACGGGUGAGUAACGCGUGGGGAAUCUGCCUUUGAGCGGGGGACAACAUUUGGAAACGAAUGCUAAUACCGCAUAAAAACUUUAAACACAAGUUUUAAGUUUGAAAGAUGCAAUUGCAUCACUCAAAGAUGAUCCCGCGUUGUAUUAGCUAGUUGGUGAGGUAAAGGCUCACCAGGGCGAUGAUACAUAGCCGACCUGAGAGGGUGAUCGGCCACAUUGGGACUGAGACACGGCCCAAACUCCUACGGGAGGCAGCAGUAGGGAAUCUUCGGCAAUGGACGAAAGUCUGACCGAGCAACGCCGCGUGAGUGAAGAAGGUUUUCGGAUCGUAAAACUCUGUUGGUAGAGAAGAACGUUGGUGAGAGUGGAAAGCUCAUCAAGUGACGGUAACUACCCAGAAAGGGACGGCUAACUACGUG
rnacentral:rRNA from 1 species